CACGCCGUAAACGAUGAGUACUAGGUGUUGGGGUCGACAGGCUUCAGUGCCGCAGUUAACACAUUAAGUACUCCGCCUGGGGAGUACGGUCGCAAGACUGAAACUCAAAGGAAUUGACGGGGGCCCGCACAAGCAGCGGAGCAUGUGGUUUAAUUCGAAGCAACGCGAAGAACCUUACCAGGGCUUGACAUCCCUCGGACAGUCUUAGAGAUAAGACCUUCCCUUCGGGGACUGAGGUGACAGGUGG
rnacentral:rRNA from 1 species